rnacentral:tRNA from 1 species
GGGCAAGUGGUGAAAUUGGUAGACACGCAGCGUUCAGAGCGCUGUGUCCCCCGGGACGUGGAGGUUCAAGUCCUCUCUUGCCCACCA